rnacentral:lncRNA from 1 species
UCUAUCUACGCGCACGCGCGCGCACAUACACAUAUAUAUAUAUAUAUUACUAUAUAUAUAUUUAGCAAAAUAUCCGGGGGAUUCACCGGACACUCUCAGUAAAAUUGGAAAAUGAAUUAAGAGUGAAUGUAAUUGAUAUUUGUAGCAUUGUCAGUUAGGGGGAAAAAUUUAUAAUCUUUAAGUGGCUGUAUUAUAAAUAAAUCGUAAUAAGAAAAAAAAUCACAAUUUAAAAAAAAAAUCAGAUCUCAAAGUUCAAAAUCACUUAGUUUCUUUUUUGCUCUUUUCAUAAGAAGCUCGAAGCUCGAAGCUCGAUUACCAAUCAGUCAUAGAAGCAACAUUAGAGGCCAACAAAGAAGCAACCCCAAAGGGUUCCUCCUCCAGCAAAAUCCAAAAAUCAACCGCAGAUAGAUCAUGGAAGAACCAUAACUGCAUUUAGACCAUGGCGGACCCAUGAGUGCAUUUAUUUCCAGCACCAUUUACAUAGAACAGCCAGCAAAAGGAAAACUAUUUUGGAAAAUUUGCAAUCCUCAAUGAUUGUAUGAUACACCACAAGCCUAAAAAGUCCUGCCCGUCCUCGGAGGAUGCCUAGCGAAUCACUUUCCAAAAUGACUCUGGGAAAUGCCAAUUUUGCAGCAAAACCCAACACAUUUCAAGCUGCAAAAACUCAGUAACUUUAGGGGGUUCAAAGGCCAGCACUUUGUGACUCAAAGCAUCUACCAACUGACCAUUCUCCCUUGUGACGACUCCAAUCCCUACAACUUUUCAUCUCAAAUCAAGACUACCAUCCAAAUGGAUCUUGCUAACACGGCGGAGUCCACUUUAUAACUGUGGAGAAAGCACUUGGCACUCAAUAGUAUUUGAUCGCCGUCUGUACAAUUCCAAAGAAUCCCAAGCAGCAUCACUUCACUUGAAUGCCUGAAUAACAAGUUAGAGAAAAGUCUUAGCCAAAAUAAUAUACAUGGAAGUAUGGACCUACAUCAAAACACAGGUUGAAAAUGUUGUGCCCGAAACACCCCAGAAAAAAAACAUAUAUUUUAUUUACGAUAUUCAACUGUUUGGUAGAGAGAAACUGUGAAUCUUUUUUUCUUAUUCUUUUCUCAUUACAAGUAGUGUACAUUACUCUAUAAGAAGCUAGUCUAUAUAUAAACUACAAGUCUAGGAAUUUCGGCUACAAAUAUUAAGUCCCAAAAUGUGACCCUAUAAUAAGGGAUUGCAUGAUGUGAAGUUUUUUCCCUUUACAGCUCAAGUCUUCUUCAACCCUGCAUCUGUGAUUCUUUCGUCUUUAACAGCUCAGUCUUCAUUCACGCCAACACUCCCCCUCACUUGGUACGUAGAUAUCAACAGUCCACUUGUCUAGUUGAUUUGGUAGAAUUUUUAACUGGCACACUGCCUUCGUAAGACAUAUCUGCUAGUUGUCUUUAACUUCAAAAAGGAAACCGGAUGAUCUUGCGCAUCAAGUUUUUGUUUGAUGGAAAUGUCGACUACUUCCACAUUCUUCAGUUCGAAUCAUGUGGUACAGGGUUAUGGAAUAUCAAUUGCUGCUAUUGUCACAAACAAAUUUAUCUCGGAGCAAAACCAAUUUCUGUUAAUAGUCUUCGAAGCCACAGUAAUUCCACAUAAGCCUUUAGUAGCUAUUCCACCGAACUCUCUUCAAAGCAAAGAUAGUGCAACUACCUCUUUUCUUCUUGCUCCUCCAAGUAGGACGCAAGUUUCCUCCGCCAACAAAUGUGAAGUAGCCUGAGGUGAUUUCCGAUCCAUGAUGUUCCCUCCCUACCUCAAUCUGCAUUUGUAUAUCCUUCUACUCUUAGGGGUCGUUCUUUGAGACCAGAGCCCCUUUCCAGGGAGGACUUGGUAGAUAUCUAAAAAUCUGUAUGACGGCACUCAUAUGAUCUUCACACUCGGAUAGUUGCAUAAAUUGCUUACAACACUUACUGCAUAUGCAUUCAGGCCGUGUGGAGAAAGAUAAAUAGCUUGCUCUACCAGCUUUGGUCGCCUCCCUUUAUCUGCUUACUUGGUUGGAAUUCCCAAUUUAUGAUUUGGAUAUUGGAGUAUCUGCAGGUAGGUACAUCUAACAAUCCAACCCUGGCAAAUUAUAAUAUUUUUCUCUGAGAUAGGAAUUCCCUUGCUUUGAUCUAGUGAUUUCAAUUCCCCAAAAAAUCUUUGAGUCCUCCUAGAUUUCUUCAUUUCAAACUCAGAUGCCACCUGCUCCUGAAGUCUCCCUAUUUCCUCUGAAUCAUCUCCGGUGAUAAUCUAUCCUCUACAUAGACUAUCAAAGCAGUCACUUUACUUUUUUGUAUUCAAGAACAAGGGUGGUGAUCAGAGUUACGUUGUUGGACACCCCUACUUCGCAUUGUUUGACUGAAUCUCUCAAUCUCCCAAACCAAGCUCGAGACGAUUGCUUCAGGCCGUAUAAGUUUCUUUGCAAUUUGCAAACCCCCAGUUGACUUCUGUGUUUGGCUUUCUAUAUCCUUGAGGAAUAUUCAUAUAAUCUCUUCUUCUAGAUCCCCAUGCAGAAAAGCAUUCUUCACAUCGUAACUGUUGUUAAAGGCCAAUCCAGAUUUGCGCAAGUGCACCAAUACUCUCACACCGUGUUAGUUUGUGGCGACGGUAGAAGUCUCCUGAUAGGUCAACUCCAUAUGUCUGCGUGAUCCCCUUGCGUACAGUCCCUUGCCUUGUACCGCUCACUGUUCCACAUCUGCCUCAUAUUUAAUGCAAACCCCCAUUGCAACCCUACUGUCUUCUGCCCUUUUUUUUUGUAGAUGACAAGUAAUCCAAGUCUUAUUUUUUUCAAUAGCGCCCAGCCCCCCUCGUCCUCAUUCAUAGCUUGGACCCAUUUAGAUCUGUCAUCGCAUUCCUCUAUCUCGUAGGAAUUUGACAUGGGAGAGUUCAUCCUGGCGAAAUCCUUAAGAGGUUCAGGGAAGCCUUUCUGUAGAUACAUAGUUGGCAAUUGGGUACUUCGACUCCUGGCCUUCAAUAUCCAGGAGAGUAGCUGUCUGGAGGCUUGCCUCGUUAUGCCUAUAUGGUAACUUAUAGCCCCAAGAAUAUUGUUAUCGAAGCGAGGUGACUUGGCGAGUUAUGUAGCUACCAACCUCGGGGAGGUAUUCUCAGAGAUGGGUCGUGGAACGGUUGGGGGGCGGAGGAGGGUAUUGCUUUUCUUCUGCUUUCAGAGGCGGUUGCUUCUCUCAUUGGUUUUAUCACUGUCUCCCUCAAUUCUGAUGGUAGAACACCAGUCUUUGCAUCAAGUAUAGAGACAAUAGGCUCAUCAAAAACCCUAGCCGACUCAUACCUCAACUCAUUCAACUCUUCACGCUCCUAGACUCCCCCCUUAAGGAAAAGUGGAUGGGUAGAAGGGAAAAAUUCUCCGUUCCAAGAAGUGACGUCCAUUGUCACAUAGGUACGAUGGUUGUUGGAGCAAAUAGCACCGGUAUCCGUUUUUAUGUGGACCAUAUUCCCAGAAACAGACGAUCGAACGGCACAAUGGUCAAUUUGUGCGGCUGAUUCUUGUGUAAGUUAACAAAAAGCACGCAACCAAAGACUCGAGAUGGAAGGCAUAAGCCGUUUUAGGUAGAGAAAGGCAGUGGCUAGAUCAGAAGAGGAGUCUGAAGCUUAAGAAUUUUGAAGGCAUUCGGUUUAUAAGGGUAAACCGGUGUCAGGGAACAACAGCAUCGGUCCAAAAACGAGUCUUACACUGUGCCAGAGGAGAAGCGCACGGAGCAGUCUCCAAGAUAAUGUCCGAUUUUCCCUUUCGCAAUCCAUUCUGUUUGGCGGUGUCUGAGUGCAGAAGUUUCAUGAAGCAUACCAUUGUGGGUUGAAAUAACUGUGAUUCCUUUAUUAUUCACAUCCUCCGCCUUAUCAAUUGAAGUAAUGCAAAUCGUAUCAGAGACUGGUUUUAACCAUCUUAUGAAAUGGAGAAAAAUUGAAGAAACUUCAUCUUUAUUUUUCAUCAGAUUACACCCAUGUCAUCCUAUUACAAUCACCACAAAAAAUCACAAACCAUCGAAUACCAUACAUAGUAUUUUUGGGAGAUGACCCCACAACUCAAGCAUGGGAUCCUCCAAAAAGGUUCUUGACUUUUAUUCAAACUCAAGGGUACGUAACACGAUGACUUUUAGCUAAGAUCCUGUCUCGCAUUUAAAAUCAAAUUCGAUGACUUGAAAUAAGUAGGAAAAACAUGUUUAGAAUAACCAAAUGGGGAUGUCCUAACCGACAAUUGCCACAACCAAAUGUUCGCUUUGUUUUUCGAUUACUGAUACUACUCGCAUGAUUAGCUCGCCAAGCCAAAAGCUACCAUAUAGUAGAGCCCCACCCUUUUUAGUACCACGCCCAAUUAUCUUCCUUGUGAGAUAUCCUGAUCACCAAAAAUGUAGUAUAAAUUAGAACAACACAGUUAACUCUUUGUUGCCUUGGCUCACUGACAAUAUUUAUGUGACAAUGCUGGUACUAAAGGGUAUUGGUCAAGGAUAGGGCUGGUGCUAUUCUCACGGACCGCCCCUUUUUACCAGAGAUUAUGUCCCCAUUAGCAUUAUCAUGCUAGUACGUCGAGGAAGGAUCGUUCUGAAAAACCGUUGGCAUCAUGUCGUGUGGUUCCUGUUGCUCCUGAAUCAAGGAUCCAAUCGGUAUAAGAAUUCAGUGGAGGUUUGUCCUAAAUAGAACCAUACUUGUAUUCACUCAAUGUUUGUUGCCAGGGAUAAUGGAAUAAUUGGGCUCAGCAUAGACUACUGCAAGCCUUCCAUUGAUGCUCGCUGCAUUUUUGCUUGUUCCAUUUCCACAUCCACCAUCUUUUCCUCGCCCAUCUUGUCCCCGCCUUUUUGGCUUGUAACUCAUGCCACCAAUCCGGUGCCAUGCAUUUGGUAGCACGUAUCUCUGGUAUGUUUCGAAUUCCACAAUGAGAGCAUUCGGUUCCAUCCAAUGGACCCUUUGCUUCUAGUAUUGAAUUGUAUUUUCCAUUUAGUGAUAGAGAUUGGGCUGGAGUUGCAAGGUCCCAGUUUACGACUUCGGGA